rfam:Myotis davidii contig53653, whole genome shotgun sequence.
GGCAGUUCUUGGGUGAUGCACCCCGGAAUCGGGCUCCCUCCUCUCUGGUUCUGGCUGUGUCACCCAAGAACUGCA